rnacentral:lncRNA from 10 species
GCAUUCAGAUUCAGUAUUUAUCUACAAAUGCACUCCCUGUGAUUAUGUCUCAUCCUAACGUUCUCUUAUCAGUAGGUCACCCUUGCCUUUCUCCAGUCUUUCUUUCUGUUCACCCACUCCUGAGCUGCAUCUCUCUUGAAAACUUCCAUUUGGGAAUUUAUUUCUCCAUCUUGAACUAAAUAAAUGUGCAUUAUUUUCCUCUCCAUGACAUUCCUAGGCACUCCUCUUCCUAGUUCUUUCUGCCUACUACAACACUUGAUGAAAAUAAUUGCAACAACAAUCGUUAGAUAUAAUUACUGGCUAUUUUUAUAAAAUUAGAUGUAGCUUGCCCUGGUCUAUUUUAGGUGUAUUCUUACGUAGACAUUGACAUUGGUCUUCUAAAGUGAAAGUGCCCUUCCCUCUGGAAAGGCUGGAUAAAACUAAUAUCAAUUUGUUUUCUUGCAUUUCUUUUCUCCUCCUGUAUGGCAGCACAACAGUAAUCUGAGGCAUUUGACAACAUCACUGAGUACACUACAGCUUUUUGAAAAAUCCAGCGACUUCCUUAAUUGGACUAAGAGACAGUGGCUCUAUUUGAGCUUGUUUAUAAACCACUUAAUGGGAGUUAUUUCUGCAGGUGCAUCUAAUUUUUAUUAGUUUUAAUAUCAAGUUAACUUUUCCUUGAUUUUACCCCCAAAUUAUAUAUAGGAUAUAUAAUUAUAUAUAGGAUAGCUAUAUCCUAUUUGGAGCCUUAAUGAAUUACUACACUCUUAAUGAAUUACUACACUCUUAAUGAAUUACUACACUCUUCUUCCAGUAUCUC